GGGGUUGUGGCUUAGUGGUAGAGUGCUUGCCUCACAUGUGAGGCCCUGAGUUUGAUUCUCAGCACCACA
rnacentral:tRNA from 1 species